rnacentral:ncRNA from 1 species
CCAUUUAACGGUCAACUCAGAACUGGCACGGACUAGGAGAAUCCGACUGUCUAAUUAAAACAAAGCAUUGCGAUGGCCCCAGCGGGUGUUGACGCAAUGUGAUUUCUGCCCAGUGCUCUGAAUGUCAACGUGAAGAAAUUCAAGCAAGCGCGGGUAAACGGCGGGAGUAACUAUGACACCACCGACGCAGGGGACAUCACCCUACUACAACCACUCCUCCGUUCCGGCACGAAUGCGGAAAUCAUCCUG